AGCACUUUGUGAACAAGCUGCGCUACGGAGUUUCCCUCAGUGACCAGGUGAUUAAUGGAAUCAUCACGUUUGUUACUACGAUUUUAUUUGGUGCUCCAGGACUCGUCUUCAGGGCAGUGGCCAGAGCACUGCGGAACAAUUAAUAAAUCUAAGGCGUUAUGUUGGUGGCACCAGUUAACUCUGGGGGAUUUGAGCAAGCUGGUUUACAGAUUUCACUCUCUUUUGAAAUCAUCAGCACUUGGUUUAGUAAAGCUGAAUCAAAGCACAGGAAGCCUUUAUCUGAGGGAAAUGCUGCUAGCACAAAUUCUAUUAAAGACGAGAUUGCACAAUA